rnacentral:rRNA from 1 species
UACGAGGGGGGCAAGCGUUGUUCGGAAUUAUUGGGCGUAAAGGGUGCGUAGGCUGUGCGGUAAGUCACCUGUGAAAUCUCCGAGCUCAACUCGGAGCCUGCAGGCGAAACUGCCGUGCUGGAGUAUGGGAGAGGUGCGUGGAAUUCCCUGUGUAGCGGUGAAAUGCGUAGAUAUAGGAAGAACACCUGUGGUGUAGACAGCUUACUGGACCACUUCUGACGCUGAGGCACGAAAGCGUGGGUAGCAAACAGG